GAUGCUCGAGGCCCCAGCACACAGCACCUUUUGGGUUGCAUUCCCUGCUUUCCAUGCUUUUGUCCUCUUAUGAGCAGUGCUGUCGUGCACAAGGAGUGGCUCCGUGCAGAGCAUCACACUGAGCUGGUCCUGUGCCCUGCGGGUCCCUCCAGCCGCGGUGCUUUAGCUGGGAUCAGCUGCUCCCGCAGGCUCUGUGUCUGGGUGCUCCUCCUCCUCCCCAGCCCGGCUUUCUGGGGCAGCCGUCAGGCAAAAUUACCCUUUGAGUAACCAAUAAUUAGCAAAUUACAGUGUUUAGGGCCUGGCGCUGGGGCAGAGGUUUUUAGCUUGCCUUCAAAAAUACAGUGAAGGAAAUAAGAGGGGUGGCUCUCAGCUGCCACCCAGCCGCACCCCUGGCUGGCACCCUCUGCGUCACAGCCCCAUGCAGCCGGGGUGCCCGUGUGUGCCCUGUCCUGGUGGGGCUGGGAGGUGGCUGGGAACGGCCACCCCAUGGGCACGUGGCUUUUCCCAUGCUGUGUCUUGUCUGUCCCUGAAGGGCAGCAGUGGGUGUUGCUGCAGGUGUAGCAAAGCUGUUCUGUGGCAAGCUGUGCCUUGCUGUCCCAUCCCACGCUGUUCCAUCCCAUCCCAAGCUGUGCCACCCUGUGCCGUUCCAUGCCGUGAUGAGUUGUGUUCUUGUGCCAUGUCAUGUGCCUUCCUGUGUGAUAUGAUGCUAUGCUAUGCUGUUCCAUGCCAUGCCAUGCUGUUUUCCUCUACUGUGCAAUGCCACACUAUGCCAUUCCAUGCCAUCCUAUUUGAUGCCAUGCAGUGCCAUCCCAUGCUAUGAACUGUGCUGUGCCAUGCCACAGUAUCCCAUGCUCUUUCAUCCUAUCACAUUCCAUGCCAUCCCAUGCAGUUCCAUUCCAUUCCAUGCAGUGCCAUAUUACAAACCAUGCCAUAUCAUAGUGUGCUAUCCCACGCCACGAUGAGUUGUGCCAUGCUGUGCCAUACUGUGCCUUCCAGGGCUGUUCCGUGCCAUCCCAUGCUGUGCUGAGCCAUGCCAUGCCGUGCUGUUUUCCUGAGCUGUGCUAUGCUAUGCCAUGCCUUCCCAUGCCAUGCCGUGCAGUAAUGAACCACACUGUGCCGUGCCAUG
ensembl:lncRNA